CCUAGAGCCCAGGAAAGGAGCCCCCGGAGCGGGACUGACGCUAAGCCAGCUCCCCCCUCACCCCUCCAAAGAGGAGACCCAGCUCCCCUUGCAGACCUGCCCGGACGGGGAGCUCACCCCCUCUGAGGCCGCCCAUGGCCCCAGGACAGUUCCAGGGUUUAGAAGAUUCUUCUGACUCGAGCUGAAUCUGCUCCACCAGCUUUCCCCCAUGGGCUGCCUUUGCCCUUGGGGUCCUCAGGAUGACUCUCCUGGGACUUGGAGGCUUCUUGUCCUAAGCUAAGCUGCCCGCGUCGGUGCCCGGUGCUCCUAGUUCUGCCUCCAGGACCGAGGAGGCAUGGCAGGGGCCGUCUCGUCCCACUGCUGGUCCCUGACCGGGACUCCCAGUGCCUCUGGCGAGCCGUCAUCGUGCCGCCGAGAACUCCUGGUGACAGAGAGCUUUUGGUCUCCUUCUGCUCCUUGUUUCUCAUUGUGGCCACCGGCACCGGCCAGGGCAGCGUCGGCAGGAUCCAUGCCCGGUCCGGAGGCAGCUCUGUCCUGGUGGGCUGGACUGCGGUGUGGACUGAUGUCUGUGAGUUCAGAUCUUAUCUACUGAGCAGCCUGAAGCAAAUCCCUUGACCUCCAUCCUGGGGGCAUCUGGGUUGCUCAAUGGGUAGAGAGCCAGGCCUAGGGAUGGGAGGGUCCUGGGUUCAAAUCUGGCCUCACACACUUCCUAGCUGUGUGACCCUGGGCAAGUCACUUAUUCCCCAUUGCCUGGCCCUGACCACCUUUCUGCCUUGGCACCAAUCCCUGUGUAUUGAUUCAAAGAUGGAAGGUGAGAGUUCAAAGCAAGUAUGAUGGAGAUAACGGCAGUUUGCUGUUUUCUAAGGCAAUUUAUGGUAGGUGCAAGCCUGGGCUGGACACAACUGCUCUGGCCUAGCUUGAGCCUCCACAGUGUCCUUGACAAGCGGUCAUCUCCCCACUGCUGGGCACGUCCAGUGACGGGGAGCUCACUGCCUCCCAAAGUAGUCCUUCCAUUUUUGGACAGCUCUGAUUGCCAGAAGAUUCCUCCUCGUUUGGAGCUGUACUGAGCACUUCUGGCAGCACAGGCGCCCUAGAUGAGCUCAGUUUGGGGCCUGAGCGAGAGAUCCUGGAGAAAGGAAGGGCCUCUGUGGGAGGGGGACAAGGGGACCCCAAAAGGCUACUGAUACCGGUGGCUCUGUGGCUAGAGAUGGGAGGUUCUGGGUUCAAAUCUGGACUCAGACACUUCUUCGCUGUAUGAUCCUGGGCAAGUCACAUAACUUUGAUUUGACUCUGUUUCCUCAUCUCUAAAAUGGGCCUAACAACAGCCCCCCUCCCCCGGUUGUUGUGAAGAUCCCCCAUUACCUCAAGCAUUGUAAGUGCUGUAAAAAUAUUGGCUUUAUGUUUUCGGCUUGUGCCUGGCACCAGAGAACCUACAGAGACGCCGAGACCCAUUCUUGGUCCUGGAGGAGUUCCCGGCCUCACUGGGGAUGAACACACGCGUGAGAAGCUGGGCUGGACCCCGGAUCCCAGAUGGAUGGAAACUACUAGUGAAGGGACUCAGCCACCAGAGCAGGGCGCCUGCCCUGCAGCUCAGCCUUUCCCAUGCGUGGAUUGAUCUCUCCCGGAUCUCUCCCCUGAGCCCUCCCAUCUAGCAAGAAUAAAAAGGAGGAGAAAAUAAAACA
ensembl:lncRNA